AGUGCUUCUAAAACACCCUUGUCAUUUACUAACCCUUAAGAGCAAGGCUGAGGCGCAGGCAUUGAUUUCUGCAUUCUGUGAAGGGCUUCUGCUCCUAGCAGGACAACAGCAUCUGUAACAACUACAAAGCCAGGAGCACCAGGAAUGCACACUUAGCUCUGCGUUCGUCCCAGCCUUCAGUAAAUAAAAACCCCAUGCCACCAUCUUUCUUUCCCUGGAUAGAAGCAGCAGAUGCUUUGUGCUGGCCCAGAGAAUUCCUUUUUUCACAAAUGGAAUGAAUAAGAACACUCGACAGAGGAACACAAGGAGAACUGGAGGGAAGUUGUUAAUACUCGCUUUGGGCAAAAAUGCUUGUUGAGGUAGGAGGAAGAUGUUUUAAAAAAUGAAAAUGGCAAUAAAUCAAUGCACUCUUACAAAAUAUGGGAGGAGAGAAUGAGAAAAUAACAAUGAGGCCAGAGGGAGGCAAAUGACAUGUUGCAACCUGUGAGGAAAAAAAAAAAAUUAACAAGGUCUUUAUGUAAUGGUGUGUACCACACAAUGCACAGAAGACCAUCUCUGAUUUAUUAGUUUCCCAUGAGGGAAGUUGAGAAAUGCAGAAGGCAUGCAUUAAAGGGUUGUUUUGCUAGGCAGAGUUUUGACUUUUAAGGACAAGCGUAGAAAGGCAUCUCUUCCUGGCUUGAGGAGCUGGCAAUUACCAGGGAGAUGCCUGCCUUGAGAUUUGACCUGAGUAAAGGCAUCUGGAUAUUUUGUGCCUAGGAAGAUUUGAGUCCUUCCUGAUAAUGAGGAAGCUGCGAGGGAGAUUCUCAGCGAGUCUGCAAAGUCAUGGUGAACUUGUUUCUUUUGUGUUCCAAUGCACUCCUUAUGUCCCACUAGCAGGCAGGAGGCUCUGGGGCAAGGCAGCGUCGGGGUCUUAGGCCUGGUCCUUGUCCUCAGAGUCAGCCCUAUGCCAGGUAUCCAGUACAAAGUUCCAAAGGCAGGCAGGGCACCCUUUCCUUCCAUAAGGUUUCAACCUUAGUAAAAUCUCAGCCCAAAUUUUAGGUUUGGGAGGAGAAAAAAGUCUGCCCUAAGAAUUGAUAGCCUUCUCUCAGACAGGCUUGGGGUCAAAUUUACUGACUCUGUGGUCUAGAAACCCCCAAGCUAAGAGAUACAUGUGAAAAAUGGCCCUGGCAGGGGAAGGAUUGAUCUCAAGCAAGUGUCACUGGGGGAGAUUAAUUUGAGUAGCCACAUGGGGAAUUAAAAACUGAUUCAGUGGGGGAGGGUAGGGACCAACAUUAAAUCAUUUAGGUGCUCUCCCCAGCCCCACCCUCUCCCUACUCCCCCUUUCCCUCUCUUGUUAAAUCUCUUCCUUGUAGAACCAUUAUUCAUUCAUGAUGGUCAUGGGAAAUCUUCUUAGCCACUAAGAAGAUUGCUAUAAUCGCUCUCAACCUGCCUACACCCUAUUUGUCACUUUGUUUUGCUAUCAAGAAAAUAUGACUCACUCUUCCUUGAUAUUUUUUUCUCAGUCAUAAUGAGAUCCCUCUCUCCUGUAGAGGAAGGAAAGGAUUUUCUUGAAUUACUGAAAGACUUUCCAAAUUACGAAAAACAUUAACAAAGGCAGUCAGAAUGAAAGCUUUCUUCCCCAGACAUUGCCUGAGGCAGACAUGUGAUGCCCCCAUGUCAGCCACACAAAGUUAUUGCGGUAAAAUGUAUGGUUUGGUUUUGAAACGUGACAGACAGCUGGACACAACUGUCAUGAUGGGCAUUUUCCACAUGCCCAUGACAAGAGGGUUAUAUGCGUGGAUAGAAGGGCUGAAAGAUUCAUUAUUGUCUAUACCACUACCACAGAACUAUGAAACUUGACUAUGGAGACAUCUGUGAUAUUUCACAAGGACCCAGUACUCUCAGGCAUGACUGCACCAUUGGGCUCUUGCAUCACAUACUCACUCCAUAGCCUCCAUGGUAUGGUUUCUGUUCCCACCACUUCAUUAAAAUUCUUUUCACACAUGAUCUGCCAAAUCCAACAGCAUUUUAUCUGCCCUCAUUCCAUUCUACAUUUUAGUAGAAGGGUGCAGUGUGGAAACUAAUCUCUUCCUUAUUGAACCUCCUUUCUCUCUUGGGUUCCGUGACACUCCAUUCCCAAUAGUCUUAUCCUACAUCCAUCUUUCUGCAUGAUUACUCUUUCUUGUGCUUAAAAGAUGGAUACUCCAAGUCUCUGUCCUAGAUCUCUUCUCUCAUGGGCAAUUUAAUCUGCUUUAACACGUUUUACAACAUCCCCACAGUGAUUAUUCCCAAAGAUAUAAUAUUCAUUGACAAUAUUGAUUGGACACUCACCACAUGUUAGGUACUGAAUUGAACCCCAAAUUCAAAGUUGUGUAUGGUUCCGUACCCUCUAAUCAUUCUCCAGUUAUGCCCUCUUUUCUGAGCUUUGAUUCUGCUGGACAUUUCCAUCACGACUGUUACUGAACUGAACCACCUGGGGCAGCAAAGUCAAACACUGACAUUGGGAUUUGCAGGGAGACAACAUGAGGCAUUUAUUGCAGAACAUCAGGUGAGGAGAAUCAGAUAGCUCAUGCUUAAGACUCCAACUCCCAGAUGGCUUAUGAAUAAGAGUUUUUUGUUUGUUUGUUUGUUUGUUUGUUUGUUUUUUUGACAGAGUUUUGCUCUUGUUGCCCAGGCUGUGGAGUUCAGUGGUGUGAUCUCGGCUCACUGCAACCUCCAGUUCCCAGGUUCAAGUGAUUCUCCUGCCUCAGCCUCCCAAGUAGCUGGGAUUACAGGCACCCACCACCACGCCAGGCUAAUUUUUGUAUUUUUAGCAGAGAUGGGGUUUCACCAUGUUGGCCAGGCUGGUCUCGAACUCCUGAUCUCAUGAUCCACCUGCCUCAGCCUCCCAAAGUGCUGGGAUUACAGACGUGAGCCACCGCACCCGGCCAUGAAUAAGAAUUUUUAAGGACAGGGAGGCAGAGAUUGUGAGCAAAGUUGUAAAUCAAUAUAUGGAGGGUAUACAUUGGUUUGACCUAAAAAGAAAGGAUACCUCAAAGUAGGGAUCCACAGGCUAAGGGGAGAUUAAUAGUUGAUAUUGCUAGUGUGGCGCUUCCAAUUAGGUACAUGAGUAGGUGGCCUGCAGUAAUGUUAGCAGUUAGACGGUGGAUUUAACUAUUUUAUGAAUUGCAAUUGGUUAAGGAAGAAAAGCUUUGUUUAAAAAUUUGGGGUCAGUAGGAAGAUGCGUUAGGUCUGGCUCCUGGGUGUAACCUCCUCCAGGCCCCUCAGGAAGAACCCAGUUUCCCUCAUCUGAAGUCUCUGUGCCAGCCGGCCACAUCUUUCAUGUGGUGGGGGUCCAGGUUUCUGAAAAACAACUCAAGGACAUGUUAAGAUGCUAUUUUUAGUUUCUAUAGGGAACCAAAUAUUUUGCGACUAACUUUCUUGGCGAUUGUUUUAAGCUACUACUACCUUCUUAUUUCUCAGGUUGCUCACUUACUUCUCAAGGAUAAGGUGCCUUGAAUUUCCCAUGAAGGAACUCAAGAUUUUCCUUUAUUUCCAAGCUUGGUGGGGCAUGCCCAGCAGGCCCCUAAGAGGAGUCUCUGUUCCAUCUCACUGCCUCAUAGACGUCUCAAGCACAUUAUGUCUAAAACCAACCUCAUUUUUGUUUUUUUUUCCUCACAAUCUGCCUACCAUUCAUCUGUUCCUUACCUUGGUUCUCGGCAUUUCCGUUUUCCAGGAGAUACUAACUGGAACCCUCUCGAUUACCUUUUGUUUCUUCUUCCUCAUCUCAUAUUCAAUCAGUCAAGUCCUAGUGCCUUUAGCAGUUGAAGUUUUUAUCUCUCAUUCUGUCUACUCUGUAGUUCAGAUUCUUAUCUUCUCUUACUUGAGCAAUCAUGGUAAGUUUCUAAUUGGUUUCCCUGUCUCUAAAUUUCUGUUCAUCUAAAUUCAUGGCCAAAGUUAUCUUUCUAAACCAAUGAUCAGAUCAGGCUCAAAAACCUCCAGUGAUUUUUCUAUUGGCUAAAGAAUACUUGUUUUAUUACAGAACAAUUAUUAUCUGUCAUCAAACUAUACUUUCAGAUUCAUCUUGAAUACCUCCUUUCUGUUUUUCUUUUUCUUUUUUUUUCUGAGACAGAGUCUUGCUUUGUCACCUAGGCUGGAGUGCAGUGGUGCCAUCUUGGCUCACUUCAACCUCUGCCUCCCUGGUUGAAGUGAUUCUCCUGCCUCAGCCUCCUGAGUAGCUGGGACUACAGGUGCAUGCCACCACGCCCAGCUAAUUUUUUUUGUAUUUUUAGUAGAGACUGGGUUUCACCAUGUUAGCCAGGAUGGCCUUGAUCUCCUGACCUCAUUAUCCAUCUCCCUCAGCCUUCCAAAGGGCUGGGAUUACAGGCGUGAAUCACCGCGCCAAGCCGAAUACCUCCUUUCAAUUGCUCUGGAUGACUCUGCAUUCCUAACUUUCCAUCUGUUUUCACAGGGACCUUUGUUCAUAGCUGUGAACCAUAGCCUUGAAUCUUGGUCUUUACCCACAUAAAUUAUGCUCAUUUGUUAAGAGUGUGUGGGAAGACAAUCAAGUAAGAGCCCUAGGUGUUUGGCCUGAGGAAGUGGGCAAAUGGUAAAACUAUUGGCUGAGACGGAGAAGGUUUUAGUGAAGAGAAGAUACUUGUGCAGAGGUUGCGGGGGGCAGGUGGGAGUGAGGGGGAGUAUCUGUAGUUUGGCCAUGUUGAGUGUGAGACAUUGAUUAGACAUGCAAACAGAGAUGCUGAGUAGGCAGUAUGAGUUUAAAUUGAAUUGCGGCUGGGCGUGGUGGCUCACGCCUAUAACCCCAGCACUUUUGCAGGUCAAAAUGAAAGAACUGCUUGCAGCCAGAAAUUUGAGACCAGACUGAGCAACAUAGCGAGAUUCUGUCUCUAAAAAAAAAAAAAAUAAUAAUAAUAGAAAAGAAAAAAAAAAAAGGAAAUACCUGGGCAUGGUGAUGCAUGCCUGUAGUCCCAGCUACUUGGGAGGUUGAAGUGGGAGGAUCACUGGACCCCGGAAGUUUGAGACCACAGUGAGUUAUGAUUGUGCCACUGUACUCUAGGCUGAGUGACAGAGCAAGAACCUGUCUCAAAAAUAAAUAAAUAAAUAGAUCUGGGGAGUUUUAUAGAUUAUAUAUAUAGAUUAAAGUCACAGAACUAUGUAAGACCAAAUAAGGAUAGAAGAGUAUUUAACAGAGAGAGAAAGCCAAUGAACACAGCUAUGGCCACUCUAACAUUUAGAAGUCUGUAGGGGAGGCAAAUCCAACAAAUGACCUUGAAAAGGCACAAUUGACAAGGUUAAGAGGAAAACCAAGUGGGUUUGUAGAGUUCUAGAGAAGAAAACCUUCAAAGAAAGAGCAGUGAUCGACCAGGUUAGAUGCUUCAGGGAGCUUGAAUAAGAUGAGAUAAUGUACUGACUACUGACCUCAGCUAAACAUAGGUCAUCAAUGACUUUGGUAGGAGCAGAAUCAGUGGGAAAGUGGGACAAAGCAGGGGUUAGGGUGCUGGUAAUCUGGCUCUCCAAAACACAAAAACAAAAUCCUGAUUUAUAGCAUUUGCCAAUUUCCAUGAAAUAAAUAUUCCCAAAGAGCUGGUUUCAAGCUAACAACAUGACAUCACUGAACCCAAAAAUGGGAAGAGAUGCCGCAAUAGGUUCUUGCCAGCAGCUCCAGCACACGUGGGACUGAAGCCUGACUCUGUGGACACAGGACAGGAGAGGCAGUCAUGGGAGGCAGCAAGAAUUAACCACCUUUGGGAGGAGUUUUGAUCAAGGGUCAGUAAGCUUUCAAAUGAUUUGCACAAAUCAACUUAAUCCUAACAACAGCCCUCCAAGGUACUUACUAAUAUCUCCCUUCUAUGGGUGAGAAGACUUAAACUUAUGGAUCACUACGCAAAAGGAGGAUACGUUGGAUUCCCUCAGUCCAGAUAUCAAACCAAGUAAUGUUAACAGGAAAUAGAAACAUCUUUCUUCCCUUUUCUUGGUGUCUUGUGAUAAAAAUAAAGCAACUUUUAGCUAAUGCUCAAGCUAAUCCUUUUCUCCUUCUAUUAUUAUUCACUGUUUAGAUAGACACAGAAAGAAGACAUCAACAGAAGUAGCUCGUGUUUAACAUGAUGGAAUUCUCAUAGGCAGUCCUUAAAGCAGUGUGAGCUGAUGAGCAUCACACUGUUAAUUUGUGAAUUGUUUAAUUGGUACUUGGCAACAAAGUCCAUCUUUGACAAGGCUGCAACUUCCUGAACAUUUAUAUUUAGGAUCCUCCUUCUUUCUACAUUAUUUUCUCUCCCUCUAAGCACUUCCAGUCUUCAACCUAGACACCCAGUACUUUUGCUGCAGUCUGAUUUCUCAUAUAUCUAUCCUUGUUGUCUAGGAAGCCUGAAGACCCACCUGGAAUGUGAAUAAGAGUUUUCAGGUGAUGGCAGCCUUAUUUUAGGGAGCCUAAUUCCUCUUCUGAAAUUGUCAUCAGAUCCAAUUUUCAUACCACCUUGAGUUCACUGUUCAACUCCAGGCCCCAGCCUCUGACAUCAAGCUCUGGAUUGUCUGCUGACUAAAGUGCUAGAAGACAAAGAAACUGAAUAGAAGGAAGGCUCGUGGGACCCCUGCAUUCUGCUUGCUUAUUCUUAGAGGCCACCCCUCCACAGAAGACUUCUUAGGACAUUGCCUUGCUGUGGUUCUGCACCAGUUGCUAUGUCUGGAUAUGAAAUAAUUCUAGCGAGAUCCUCGUUAAAAUGCUAAGCAAAAGCAAAGCUUUAUGAAGCACAUAAUAUUCAUACAAGUUUAAGAAAAAUAUCCAUCCAUUUGGAGAACAAAUGUUUUUGAAACUCUAUGCAAACUCUAAUUAUGAUACAUUUUUACUUUUCAUUAUAGUAGGUUCUUAGAGGACUUUUACUUCAUAGCAUUUUAUACCUGAGUUAUUGUUAUUAUUGAAAGAAAAUUGAAAUAAAUUUCACAAUCCUUUGCCAUAUAUCAUUUUAACUAUUUAACACUGUUUCUGCCUGAAGACAUUACACGUUUUUGGAUUGUUACUAUGUUAGGUUGCUUCCUGGCCAGCCCCUCUCUCAAAGUCAUGAACGGUGAGAUCUUGAUCCAGAGAAAUCUAAUCUUUAAAGGUAAACUCAAUAAAACAAUGUCACUUUGUUCAAAGAAAAAGCAGAUGAAAUAUCUUAAUGAGAGUUAUCAACUAAGCAAAUAUUUAUUGAGAAUCUACGUGGUUCUUUUGAGGCCCAUGUCUUUGUAGUGUUCUGUCAUAGUAAGAGGUCCAGCUACUCUGAAGCUGCCAUGCUGUGAUGUCCAGGCCACGUGGAGAGGCCGUGUGAACUUGCUCCAGCCAAUAGCUGAGGUCCCAGGCAACAGCUCACAUCAACUGCCAGACAGGAGUGAAGACUCCUCCAGAGAACUUCAGCCUCCAGCCAUUGAUUCAUUCAUAGCCUUCAAGCCCUUCCCAGCUGAGGCACAAGACAUUGUGGAGUGCAGUGCACUAGCUGAAUUCCUGACCCACAGAAACUACGGGCAUAAUAAAGGGAUUGCUGUAUGCCACUAGGUUUUGGGGUGGCUUGUUAUAUGGCAACAGUAACUGGGACUGAUUUUGGUACCAGGACUGGGGUGCUACCAUGGCCAAAAAAAAGCUAAAACAUUGUAGCAUUGGCUUUGGGACCAGGCAGCCUUGAGGAGACUGUCAAUGAAGGAUUAAAGGAUCCUGAAAAGAAUUUUAGUGAAAAGUGGAGGGGCAUCAAUGGUAAUAUUGGCAGAAGUCUCAAGGGCCUUGAAGAUGCCCCUGUCUUUCUUCCCAGAGGUAACUGACUUUGCUACUUGCAUUUCCACACAGCUUUUAUACUAUUAUUACAUAUAAGUAUCAAAAAUAAUUUAGGCCGGGCGUGGUGGCUCACGCUCGUAAUCCCAGCACUUUGAGAGGCCGCGGCGGCAGAUCUGAGGUCAGGAGUUUGAGACCAGCCUGGUCAACAUGGUGAAACCCCAUCUCUACUAAAAAUACAAAACUUAACUGGGCGUGGUGGCGGGUGCCUGUAAUCCCAGCUACUUGGGCAGCUGAGGCAGGAGAAUUUCUUGAACCUGGGAGGCGGAGGUUGCAGUGAGCCAAGAUAAAACCAUUGCACUUCAGCCUGGGCAACAAGAGCAAAACUCUGUCUCAAAAUAAUAAUAAUAAUAAUAAUAAUAUAGAUCAUUUUGCUUUAUUUUGAACUCUAUAUAAAUGUUAUAUACAAUGUUUGACAUUUUGCAACUAGCUUCUUACACUCAACAUUCUCUUUUUGGAGUUAUCCAUGUUUACAGCUUCAGUUUCUCUUUAUGCAUUUGUAUCGCUGUAUAGUAUUCCACUAUAGGCAUAUCUGAGAAUUUAGUUAUGCAAUCUAUGAAGAGGGAAUGGCCAUUUAGAAUUUUCCCAAUGCUUUUCUAUAAACAGUUUUGUGCAUAUCCUUGUACAUAUGUGAAAGCAUUUAUCUAGCUCAUAUACAUAGAAGUGGAACUGCUAGGUUGAAGAAUAUUCAUAUUUCAACUUUACUAGGUAUUGCUAAAUUACUCUCCAAUGUUGGAGCAAACUUACAGGUCUACUUGCAUGAGAAUUUUCAAUUUUCCAAAUCCUCAUUGGCAUUCAGGCUUUCUCAUUGUGAAAUAUUUGUUCUGCCCUUUUUUUCUAUUAGGUUUGUUCAUUUCCCAUUGUAUGUACCUAUACAUACAUACAUAUAUAUCUAAAAUGAAUUUUAUAUACUUAAAUACUAUAAUUACAUACCUUAUGUAUUUAAAUUUUUAUGUGUAUAUCUUAUAUAUGGGUAUAUUUAUAUCUGUAUUUAUAUAUCUUAAGUACUAAUCUUUUGCCAGUUGUGUGAGAAAACUUCAUUACAAGCUUUGGCUUAUCUUUUUGCUUUACGAUGAUUUUUAAUAUAAGGACAUUUAAAAUUUUAAAGCAAUCAAAUAUGUCAGUCUUUUCCAUUUUGUUUAAGAAACACUUUUUUUUUACUUAGAAGUGACAGAAUAUUCCCCUAUAUGUUCUUCAAAAGCUUAAAGUUAUAUGUUUCAUAUUUGGUCUUUAAUAUAUUUAGGAUUUUGUGGUGUGAGACAGGAAAUCUAAAUUUAUUUUAGUCCACAUGGAUAAUCAAUUAUCACAGCAUCUAUAUUAUAAAAUGUAUUCUUCACCUAUAAGUUAUAAUGCUACUUUUAUCCCUGUAUCAUAUUUCAGUGUAUGUUUAGGUCAGUUUCCGGGUUCCCUACUGCGUAACAUCAAACUCUGCAUUUAACCAUAUUGCUAAACUCUCAUAUUAAUCUGGAUAAAUUGCCUAAUGUUUCUCUUAUUAUCUAUGAUAACAUUUUAACUGAAAAUAAGGACAUAUUUUUCUUUUUCUUUCUUUUACCCCUUGUUUCUUUUCUAACUGUACGUUUGAAAUCUCCAAGGGCAGUGCUGAAUCAAAGCGGUGAUGUGGGGGCGGUCUCUGUCUUCCCGACCUCUAAGUCUGACUGUUCUGCAUGAUGUUUUCAUAGGUUUUUGAUGGAUAUAAUUUAUCAUGGUAAGACAGUUCCCUUCCACUUUUAGUUUGCAAGGAAUUUUUACAAUAAAUGAAUGAGUUUUGAAUUGUAUUUAAUACUUUUUCCAUAUCCUUGGGAUAAUUGUAGUAUUUUUCUUCUUUAAUCUACAAAAGGGCAGGAAUUUUGUCUUGUUCAGUAUUUAACCUCUCAUGCCUACUAACACUACUGGUGCAUAAUAGCUACUCAACAAAGUCUGGUUGCAUAAAUAAUUUUUUAAAAAACAUGAAAACCUGUAUUUUCAUGGCUGGCAAUGGGAAAAAAAUGUCCUUACAGGGAUACAGAGUGAUAGUAUGCUGCUAAUUUCUAGCCUAAAUGCACUCUCCUCUUCUGACCUCUAACUCUUUCAGGAUCAGGGAGGCCUCAGGGAGGGCAGUGUACCUUCUCUAACAUCGAUCCCAAAUAGUUGAACCUAGGGGAGAGAGAGAAAGCUGCCUUUCACUCUAGCACUGUCAGGCAUGAAAUACAUACUACUCUUAAUUCCCUGCAGUAUAGUUACAAAGAGAUUUUUAAAACUUGACCAUGUGCCUGUGUAAGGAAAUUGCAGUAUAAUAAGUGACUUGCAAUAACAGCCUCCUUCUCUCCAUCCUCCUGGAGUCUUGUUGUGACAGAGACUUUAUCUUGGAACCUUGGUAUGGCUUUCUGCAUGGCAGUUGCUUUCUGAAAUUGUUUGCAUGAUUUUAUGGGCACACCUCGGCAUUUCCAUUGUCAACAUUCUAUGCCACAGGAUGCUAAAAAGGACCUUUUCCUACUCUUCAUGAUUUGCUGAAAACCAUGUGAUAUUUAGACCUUAUCUUUCUUCGACAGUUUGUCAUCAUUGUUUUCCUCAGUUUUUGAUGCCAUUUUGAUUCCGUCCAACAUCUUUUAGCAAACGUCAGUUGGAUUCUCAUUUCUCUGUAAGUAUAGAACUAUUUUUUUCCUCCCUUUUUCUCUUUCUCAAGGCUUUUAUGAUCAUAUCUUUAUCCCUUGUGUCCUGGGAUGUCAUAUGAUGUUUCUAGACGUGGGGCUUUUUCAUUUAUAUGACUUUCCAUUGAGAGAUUUGUGUCUUUCAUGAGUUUAGGGGUUUUUCUUAUGUCAUUUUCUUGAUAAAGUAUUUGUUUUCUUGGCAAUCUCUUCCUGGGACUUUUUAAAAAAUGUCAUUAUUUUAAACUGACACACAAUAAUUGUACAUAUUUACAGGGUACAUGUGAUAUUUCUUUUCUCUUUUGUGUGUGUGUGUGUGUGAUGGAGUCUGUCUGUGUUGCCCAGGCUGGAAUGUCAUGGCACCAUCUUGGCUUGCUGCAAACUCUGCCUCCCAGGUUCAAGUGAUUCUUCUGC